UACGGGGGGGGCAAGCGUUGUUCGGAAUUACUGGGCGUAAAGGGCUCGUAGGCGGCCAACUAAGUCACACGUGAAAUCCCUCGGCUCAACCGGGGAACUACGUGUGAGACUGGAUGGCUUGAGUUUGGGAGAGGAAUGCGGAAUUCCAGGUGUAGCGGUGAAAUGCGUAGAUAUCUGGAGGAACACCGGUGGCGAAGGCGGCAUUCUGGACCAACACUGACGCUGAGGAGCGAAAGCCAGGGGAGCAAACGGG
rnacentral:rRNA from 1 species